GGCCUAUUGAAAGAAGAUUUUAGGUCUAACCUGCCCCCUGAUGUAUUUAAAUGGCCGCAGUAUUUUGACUGUGCUAAGGUAGCAUAAUAAUUAGUUUUUUAAUUGAAAGCUAGAAUGAAUGGUAUUAUGAAAAAAUUACUGUCUCUUUUAAAAAAUUAAAAUUUUAUUUUUAAGUUAAAAAGCUUAAAUAUUAUUAAAAGACGAGAAGACCCUAUAGAAUUUUAUUUAAAUUAAUUUUUAAUAAGUUAGUAUAUAAAAUUUAAAGAUAAGUUUAUAUUUAGUUGGGGUGAUUAGAAAAAUUAAGUAUCUUUUUUUCAUGUAAACAUUAAUUUAUGAUUUUAUGAUUCACAUUAGUGAUUUAAGAAUAAAUUACCUUAGGGAUAACAGCGUAAUUUUUUUUUAGAGUUCUAAUCAAAAAAAAAGAUUGCGACCUCGAUGUUGGAUUAAAAUUUAUUUUUGGUGUAGUAGCUAAAGUAUUAAGUCUGUUCGACUUUUAAAAUUUUACA
rnacentral:rRNA from 1 species